UCCUGCAGCCACAAACACAGCCUUUCUCUCUCUCAGAAGCUAUACUCCAGAGUCCAGAUGAAGAAUUACUUGAUCUCAACUGAAUUAUUAGUCUAUACUUCUUGAGACUGCAAGAGUUCUGUUUUAAUUCGCAGGUUUUCCUUUUCUGGAUAUGGCUUUGGUUGGAGUUUAUCACAAGCAUUUUUGUCAGGAUAAAGUACACACGAUAUGUGGAAGAUGAACUCACCGUAUGGACUGGUAGAGAACUUCCAGGUAAUCUUGCAGGUACUCUGAUCUGUAGUCGUCGUCAAACUCAAUCUUGCUUGGGGUUUUGGGGGCGUCUGCAAAUCCUGAAUCGUCGAACAAAAGAUUCAAAGUCUCAGGUGGUCCAGUAACUUCCCUAGAGCCCAAGGAGCAGACUCAAGAUGGCCCUGGACAUAUUACAUUAAUAUAAUUAACACACCUCGAUUCAGAAGAAAAGGAAGAAAAUUAUCAGCUGAUGUGUUGUGUUUGCUGAAAGAGCUUUGCUUCUGACUGCUUUGUAUGUACCUCUUGGAUGUCUUUAAAUGGAUCUGAAUGCAGGCACGAAAAUGUUGCAUGUUAGUGAGGCUGAAUUGCAUUCAUAGCAAUGCUUCAUUUGGAGCACAAAUUUGAAUUGGAACGGCAGCUGCUUGAUUAGCGCA